CGGGUGGCGGACAGGCUGGUCAGAGCCAGGAAGAGCAGCAGCCGCCGGCGCCUCCGGGAGCUGGCUGAGAGCAAGUCCGCAGGCCCGAGGAGGAGCCGGGGGCAGCGCAGGGACUGUCGCGGGUGUCAUUCUGGACGCAGGAAAAUUCAGCCACCUACCCAAACAAUAUGAAGAUUUCCUACGUUGAACCUGCCAUUCUUCUUAACUCCUUUGCUCUGUCUUUGAUCUCUCCACUGACAACACAAUACCUGUAUAGGAGAAUAUGGGAAGAAACAAGCAACUACAGCUUUGCCCUUGAUAACAAUAUUUCUGAGUGUGACAAAAACAAAAGCAGCCCAAUUUUUGCAGUCCAGAAGGAAGUUCAGGAAAAAGUGUCUUUAUUUAGCCUACAGAUGGAGAUAAGUGGUUUAAUUCCUGGCCUGUUAUCUACGUUCAUUCUUCUAUCUAGUAGUGAUCGCCACGGGCGAAAAUUCCCCAUGAUUUUAUCUUCCGUUGGUUCUCUUGCAACCAGCAUUUGGCUCUAUUUGCUUUCCUACUUUGCCUUUCCAUUCCAACUUUUGAUUGCAUCUACCUUCAUUGGUGCAUUUUGUGGCAAUUAUACAACAUUUUAUGGAGCUUGCUUUGCCUAUAUAGUUGAUCAGUGUAAAGAAUCCAAACAAAAAACAAUUCGAAUAGCUAUAAUUGAUUUUAUGCUUGGACUCGUUACUGGACUAACAGGACUGUCAUCUGGCUAUUUUAUUAGAGAACUAGGUUUUGUAUGGUCAUUUUUAAUUAUUGCUAUAGUUCUUACUGUUAACUUGACAUAUAUUUUAUUUUUACUUGAUAAUCCAAUGAAAGAGUCUUCAACUCAGAAUGUUACCAUAUCAUGUAGUGAAGGCUUUAAAGACCUAUUUUACCGAACUUACAUACUUUUUAAAAAUGCUUCUGGUAAGCAACGGCUUUUGCUCUGUUUGUUACUUUUUACAAUGAUCACUUUUUUCUUCGUAAUAAGUGGCAUUUCCCCAGUUUUUAUCCUUUAUGAAUUGGGUCCCCCACUCUGCUGGAAUGAAAUUUUUAUAGGUUAUGGAUCAGCUUUGAGUAGUAUCUCCUUUUUUAGUAGCUUCCUAGGAAUUUGGCUUUUUUCUUAUUGCAUGGAAGAUAUUCAUAUGGCCGUCAUUGGAAUUUUUACCACCAUAGCAGGAAUGGCCACAGCUGCUUUUGCUAGAACUACACUGAUGAUGUUUUUAGUCCGGGUGCCAUUCCUUUUCACUAUUAUGCCACUCUCUGCCCUGCGAUCCAUGUUGUCAAAAGUAGUCCGUCCUACUGAACAAGGUACCCUGUUUGCUUGUAUCGCUUUCUUAGAAACACUUGGUGGAGUCACUGCGGUUUCUGCUUUUAAUGGAAUUUAUUCAGCCACAGUUGCUUGGUACCCCGGCUUCACUUUCCUGCUAUCUGCUGGCCUGUUGUUCAUUCCAGUGAUCAGUCUAUGGGCUGUCAAAUGCAUAAACUGGAGGGAGGAGAGCAAUGCACUUCUUGUACAGGAAGAGUCCAGUGAUGACACUUCAGACAGAUGACUGUGUACAGUGAUAUACCCAUCAUAUACUGAGACUCCUGAAGAAUACAGACUAACUGCACCAUCGGUGCUUGAUUAAUAGUCAAUAUUACAUAUCCUUCCUUUCUCAUAAACCCGACAAUCGGAGAAAUAGCACCUGGCUUUCGCUUUGAGCACUUUGUGCUCACCAUGCACUCUAUUUCCAACACAAGGAAGAACAAUCUUCAAAACACUUUGCACUUUUGGACUUACAAAGAAACCACAACUAAAAAGUGGAAGGAGGGAUUAAGAAACUGACAUGGUCAAAAGCAAUAAUUUCGCUGACAUACUCUCGUCUCUCAUGCUGAAAUCAAGGAGAAGAUUUUUACCUCAGUUUCUUCACUGUCAAAACAGAUUUCUGACCUGUCUCAGGGAUUUUGAAGGUGAUUCCAAAAUGUGGCCAGGAUUGAAAAUCACUACUCUAGGUGAGGGGUCAGCAAACUGUCUCUGUAAAAGGUCAAAGUGUAGAUAUUUUAGGCUUUGUGGGCCACACAGUCUGUCAUGCUACCUAACUCCACAUUAUAUCACAAGGCAACUGAAGACAGACAUAAAUAAAUGGGCACAACUACAGCUAUGCUCCAAUAAAAUCUUAUUUACUGAACAAGCAACAAGCUGAAUUUGUUGACAUAGUCUACCUACUGGAAAGGUAUCUUUAUUAUAAACACUGCCACUAUGGGAUGCAUACAAUAAUAUAAACAUAAAAUAUAACAGUGGCACUUUUAAUAUAGUGCCCAGUUUGGUUGGGGUUCAAAGUCAGUCUCAUUUGCCUUACUUAAGAGAGAGACUAGUUCUGGUUAUACCAAAAGAAGGAAACUGGUUGACCUAUGUAGCCUCAAAUCAUUGCUUAGGAAAUGCUUUGUCAGGGAGGAUAGAUAGCUGGAGUGUGACUGAGAUGGGGCCUAGCCCAAUUGGUUUCAUUGCCAAAUAUUUAAGGAACAAAUAAAUCAAUUCUACACAAAAUUUUCCAGAAAGUAGAAGCAGGAAAUGCUUCCCAACCCAUUAUAUGAGGUCAUUAUUAUUCUGAUGCAAAAUCAGACAAAGAAACUAUAAGAAAACUCUUGAACAUAACAAAUUCACAACAAAACAUUAAUAACUGAACUAUGGGGUUUAAGCAGACAACUCAAUCUAGUUCAACAUUUGAAAAUGUCAUAUUGUAAUACGUGGUAUUAAUAGGGGGGAAAAAAACACAUGAUCAUAUACAAGGAUAUAGAAAAUAUUGAACAAAAUUCAAAGUCCACUCAUGAUAAAAAUUCUCAAGAAACUAGGAAUCAAGCUGAUAAAAGCCACCAAAAAAUAUUUAAAGCAAAUAAUAACUUAUAAUAAAAUAGUGGCUGCUUCCCCCCCAAGACUGGGAAUACAGCAAGGAAAUUCAAUCUCACGACUCCAAUUCAGCACAAUCCUAGAAAUCCCAAUAAUAAAACAAGAGAACGAAAUAAAUGGCAAGUAAAUUGGGAAGGAAAAAGUAAAAUUGUUAUCUGCAUAUAACAGAAAGUACUAAAGAAUCAAUUUUAAAUUUAAAAAGAAAUCACUAUAAUUAAUAAGUUAAUUUAGAAAAGUCAUAGAAUAUAAAGCCAUUAUACAAAAAAUUCUUAUAUUUCAAUAUGCUACCAACAAAUGACUGAAAAAAAUUAAUAAAGCAAAUCAUUUAACAACAGCAUCAAAAACAAAAUCAGAAUAAAUUUAAUAAAACACGUACAAGACCUGUACUGAAAACUACAAAACAUUGCUGAGAGAGAUCAAAGAAGACCUAAAUAAAUGGAAAGAUAUAAUAUGUUCAUGGAUUAGAAACACAACAUUGUUAAGAUAUCUAAAUUUAUAUAAAACUCCUAGAAGAAAAUAUACAAGAAAAUCUUUGUAACCUUCUGUUAGAAAACACAUUUAGAUAGAACUCCAAAAGCAAAAAAUACAAAUACAUACAAAUAGAUUAGAUUUUAUCUAAAUUAAAACUUCUGCUUUUGAAAUACACCAUUAAAAAAUGAAAAGGCAAGCCAAGAUUCCAGAAAUAUUUGCAAUAAUAAUAUAUCUGACAAAUGUUUUAUACUGACAAUUAUAGAUGACUUUUGACUCAAUGAGACAAACCAACCAAUUUAAAAAGUAGAACAGAUGGGACUGAAUGUAAAACAAGUCAAAAAAAAAAAAGUCAUACUCAACAACUCAACAACACAGGUAAAUUUUAAAAACCUUAUACAAAGCAAAAGAAACCAGAGAUUGACUAAGUAAAUAAUACUGUAUGGUUCUACUUUUAUGAAAUCUGUUAAAACAAAUAACCACCAGCAUCAAAAAACAGAUGAAGGGUUACCUAGGGCUCAAAGUAGGAGAGACAGGGAUAAAAAAGGAUAGGAAAGAAUUCUGGAAAGAUGAAAACAUUCUUACUUUAAUUGUUAUGGUAAUUAAAUAAUUGUGUGUACAUUUGUCAAAACACAGAUAACUGUAUAAUUUGAGUACACAUUUUUAUAUAAAUUAUACCUCAUAAAGUUAAAUUUAAAGACUAUAUUGGUACUUUGGGGAAAGAAAGGUAGCAAGUAAAGGGAGAACUUACAUAAGCAAAUGACUCAACAUUCCUGUCUGUCAAAGUUUGAUUUAUAUCUUCUCUCUUAUAUCAGUGGUCCUCAAAGAAGAUCCUUGGGUUAUUAGCAUCACUAUUGCCCAAAAACUUAUUAGAAAUGCAAAUUCUUAGGCUUCAUCUCAACCACAAACUCUAGGUAUAAGGCUCAGAAGUCUGUUUUGAAAAGCCUUCUUGUGAUUCUGUACACUCAAAAGUUUGAGAAUCACUGUCUGCCAUAAUGCUAAGGACCUCCGACAUCUCAGCUUCAUUUAUCAUGUACCUUUGUUGAAUCUAAUUCUGCAAAUGAUUAAGACGAUAACCAUAUUCUUCAGUUAUUUGAAUCUAGAAUUAUCUUAUGUAAGGCAGCAUGCUGAUAUACUAAAAGUGCACUCAUAAUCUUAUUUCCUUCAUGUGUUCCUGAAUUUAUUGUAACUAGAAAUUGGCAAAGACCUCAAAUUAUUUCUAUAAGUUAGAUUUCUCUGGAUUUGACUUCCAGGAAGAAUGCUGCACUCUUGGCUAUGGGUUUGGAAACAAAAAAGACCAUGGCAGAGGGGAAUUGACUUUCUCUGGUAAAUGGACUUCUUUGGGGGAAGGAACAUUCUCCUUCUAAGUGAAGAAAUUACUUCCUCAGUCCUAUUCCCACUUAAUUCUUGGCAUACUUCAAAUCCUAAUCAAUGCUCCAGUUUUCACAGAAUAGAUCUAAUGGGACAGUGAAUUCACCAGCUGUGCUAACUGGGGAGACUCAGAUCUUGUUUUCUACUGAGUAUUAUAUCUGUAAUAAAUGAGGAUGCUGUAGCUUGAUAUAGGAACUCAAACAUGUUAUUUAUUUGCUUUAACCCUCAUCCUACUAAUGCUGUUAGAAGCAGCCACCCUGGAAUACUGACUUUUUCUUAGUCUGGUUGCCCAGAAUCUUACUAUAAAAUGAGCCUAUGAUUUCCUGGAACCAGAUAGGACACCUAUUUUUCAAUUGCCUUCCAAAAGCAGCUAGAUUUCCUACCUAGAGUCACGAUUAAAACCUGUCAGUCUGAUAACUAAUCUACCAAUGUCUCUGGGGACUUGUUCCCUAAAAUACCAGCUGCCUGAUACCAUUACUCAUUCAGAGACCUCCAAGUGCAAGCAAUAAAAUGCACUUUUCUAUGUAUAAAGGAAUUUACUAUAAAGAUACUAGAGGGUCACCACUUUGGUAGCAAACCAAGCAGAGGCUAAAAAAUAAUCAGGAAUCAAAGGAGGUUCACAAAUAGAGCAGCAGAAACCACAAUGAUGUGGCAUGAGAGCACACUGUGCAGUAAUGAGACACCUACCUUACUGGUCUCCUUUUCCUGGACUCAGGAAUCCCAGUCCUAGUGAGAUAGAAAAGGCUAGGGAAGGGACAAAAAGGUCAACAAGUGGGGAAACAUGGGACAGCCAUUUUAACAUGCCCUACAUGUUAUAAAACAGUUCUUGUUUCUCAGAAAGGGUGUGUCUAUCUCACCAAAAACAACUACAUAAUUCAUAAUCCAGCUGUGCCCACCAUGGGAUAAUUGAAGUAUCAAAAACCAAUCAAAAAGAGCUUAUUAACUUCUCCCAACAUGCCUUUAAAAGGGGGAGCACUAUAAACCUUAAAACGUGCUGUACCAGAAGUUUUGAAUAUCUCACUUUCCUUUUUAAUAAAAUUCCUGCUUGCUUACUUACCUCAGCGGCAUUGGAGGUGUUCAUUUUUCAACUCCAUGGAGCAAGAACCCAAUACUGACUCGUGUAAGUAACACUAAGAGAGGAGUUUGUCUGACUAGGUCACAGUCUACCCACUGCAGGGCCCAGGAGCACAGAGGAAGGCUAACCUGCCCUCUUCCGCCUGGAGAAGGAUGCAGGCACUGUCAAGACCACACAUAAAGGAGUUUUAGCAAUUUUCCUUUAGAAAAAUUUAGGGUACUGUCCAGAAUUAGGGUGGACCUACAAAGUAAAGACCACAAAUGAGUUCUAUAAUGUGGAGAUGAAAUAGAGGGUAAAGGACUCUCGUGGCUCACCUUGCCUAUCUUUUCCCUAGAGCUAAAUCUUGGAGGUAUUCAGUUUUUGUUUUUUAAAGGGAAGAGAAAAAGAGAAAGCCUCUUAAGAUAGGCCUAGUUCCUAAAAUUGUCAUUUGUUCUGUGAUCUUUUAAUCUUUGUAAAAACAAACAAGCAAACUAUUAUGGUUUGGAUGUGAGGUGUCCCCCCAAAAGUUCAUGUCUGAGGCAAUGCAAGAAGCUUGAGAGGAGAAAUGAUUGGGUUAUGAGAGCCUUAACCCAAUCAGUGGAUUAAUCUCCUGAUGUGAUUAACAAAUGGUAUCUGAAGGUAGGUAGGAGGUGAGUUCCUGGGAGUGUGACUUUGGGGUAUAUAUUUUGUAUCUGAUGAGUGGAGUCUCUCUGCUUUCUGAUCAUGUGAUCCACUUCCCUCCACCAUACUCAUCAAGGCCAUAUACUUCCACCAUGAUGUUCAUUCGGGCUCACCUGGAGCCCUUAGGAAUGGAGCCAGCUGCCUGAGACCUCUGAAACUGAGCUCCCAAAUAAACUUUUCCUCCUCUAAUGGUUCUUGUCAGGUCUUUUAGUCACAGCAGCAAAAAAAAAAAAAAAGCUGACUAAAACACAAAUAAAAUAAAGCAAUAUAAAACACUAAAUAAUGUAUACCCUUCAUACUGACACUGUUAACAAAAAAAAAUUAGUCACUAUUACAGAAUAGCCCAAUUUUUAUUACUGCAUGAAAAUAAAUUUUGUAUUUUGAAAAUUGUUAAGAAUUUGUGUGUGCAUAGGGGAGAAUAUCGGGGAUUGAACCCAAGAGCACUAAACCAGUGAGUCACAUCCCCAGUCCUUUUUGUUUUUUGAGACAGGAAAUUGCUAAGCUGCUUAGGACCAAAGUUGCUAAGGUUGGCUUUGAACUUGCAAUCCUGCCUCAGGAAAAAUUGCUAGCAAUAAAAAAAUAAUAAAGUAUAUUUUUCCUGCCUUUCCUACAUGACUUUAUCCCUAGGUAAGCAAAUAGUACGUAACAGGAAAAUUAAAGAAGUAUUCUGGCAGAAAAGAUAGAUUUAGAAUCACUGUUUUGCAAGCCCAUUUGGAUCUAUAUGUUGUAAGAUGUCAACAGCCACCAAUAUCACAAAAUGAGAGAUGGGUAGGUAUUAGGUAUCUUAGGGAAGAACACACGGCCAAAUGAAGUGAUGUUUCCAAAAAUAAUGAAUCUGAACCUAAUCAAGCCUAUAGAUUCAACUAGCAAUUUAUAGGAACUACAGAAGAAAGGAACAAGUUCAACUGUAUCACAAAGAUACAAACAGCAAAAUCUAUACUGUCAAAAGUCCUACAACUUGGUGUCUUCAACAACUAGCAUGAAGUGAAAGAGAACCACAAAAUCCAAUCAUAAUGUGUGGCUGUUGCUCAGAACCUGAUGCAAACAAAACAGCCUUAUUAGACCAUGAGAAAUUUGGACACUGGGUAUUUGACUCUAAGGAAUUACUGUUAAUUUAGGUAUAAUAGUUUUGUGGUUAUGUUAAUGUUAUAAAUUGAAAUAUUUCCUGUAGAAAUGAUGUCUAGAAUUUCUUUCAAAAUACCUUUGAGGGGGAAAAUGGGUGAAAAAAAUGUGGAUGGAGUAAGAUUAACCCUGAGUAUAUUAUUGAAGCUAGAUGACGGGGAGAUAGGAUUAUAGUACAUAUUUUUAUUUACUUUUAGAUAAUUGAAAAUUUUCAUUUUAAGUAUUAAAAGACCAAAUGUGUACUAUUUA